GAUGAACGCUAGCGGCAGGCUUAACACAUGCAAGUCGAGGGGCAGCACGGAAGUGGUAACACUUUUGGUGGCGACCGGCGGACGGGUGCGUAACGCGUAUGCAACCUACCGAUAACUUGGGGAUAACGGAUGGAAACGUCCACUAAUACCUGAUAAUAUCAUUGGAGGCAUCUUCGGUGGUUGAAAGAAUUUUGGUUGUUGAUGGGCAUGCGUAACAUUAGUUAGUUGGUGGGGUAACGGCUCACCAAGGCUACGAUGUUUAGGGGGACUGAGAGGUUAACCCCCCACACUGGAACUGAGACACGGUCCAGACUCCUACGGGAAGCAGCAGUGAGGAAUAUUGGUCAAUGGGCGAAAGCCUGAACCAGCCAUGCCGCGUGCAGGAAGACGGCUCUAUGAGUUGUAAACUGCUUUUAUACGAGGGUAAUUGCGCGCACGUGUGCGUGUUUGAAAGUAUCGUAUGAAUAAGGAUCGGCUAACUCCGUGCCAGCAGCCGCCGUAA
rnacentral:rRNA from 1 species